UACGAAGGGGGCGAGCGUUGUUCGGAAUUACUGGGCGUAAAGGGCGCGUAGGCGGCCGAGCAAGUUAGAUGUGAAAGUCCUGGGCCUAACCUGGGGACUGCAUUUGAUACUGCUUGGCUUGAAUUCGGGAGAGGAUAGCGGAAUUCCCAGUGUAGAGGUGAAAUUCGUAGAUAUUGGGAAGAACACCGGUGGCGAAGGCGGCUAUCUGGACCGACAUUGACGCUGAGGCGCGAAAGCGUGGGGAGCAAACAGG
rnacentral:rRNA from 1 species